rnacentral:rRNA from 1 species
AACGAACGCUGGCGGCAUGCCUAACACAUGCAAGUCGAACGAAGCCUUCGGGCUUAGUGGCGCACGGGUGCGUAACGCGUGGGAAUCUGCCCUUUGGUUCGGAAUAACAGUUGGAAACGACUGCUAAUACCGGAUGAUGACGAAAGUCCAAAGAUUUAUCGCCAGAGGAUGAGCCCGCGUAGGAUUAGCUAGUUGGUGUGGUAAAGGCGCACCAAGGCGACGACCCUUAGCUGGUCUGAGAGGAUGAUCAGCCACACUGGGACUGAGACACGGCCCAGACUCCUACGGGAGGCAGCAGUGGGGAAUAUUGGACAAUGGGCGAAAGCCUGAUCCAGCAAUGCCGCGUGAGUGAUGAAGGCCCUAGGGUUGUAAAGCUCUUUUACCCGGGAUGACAAUGACAGUACCGGGAGAAUAAGCCCCGGCUAACUCCGUGCCAGCCGCCGCGGUAA